rnacentral:rRNA from 1 species
AGUGAACGCUGGCGGUAGGCCUAACACAUGCAAGUCGAACGGCAGCACAGUAAGAGCUUGCUCUUACGGGUGGCGAGUGGCGGACGGGUGAGGAAUACAUCGGAAUCUACUUUUUCGUGGGGGAUAACGUAGGGAAACUUACGCUAAUACCGCAUACGACCUACGGGUGAAAGCAGGGGAUCUUCGGACCUUGCGCGAUUGAAUGAGCCGAUGUCGGAUUAGCUAGUUGGCUGGGUAAAGGCCCAGCAAGGCGACGAUCCGUAGCUGGUCUGAGAGGAUGAUCAGCCACACUGGAACUGAGACACGGUCCAGACUCCUACGGGAGGCAGCAGUGGGGAAUAUUGGACAAUGGGCGCAAGCCUGAUCCAGCCAUACCGCGUGGGUGAAGAAGGCCUUCGGGUUGUAAAGCCCUUUUGUUGGGAAAGAAAAGCAGCAGGUUAAUACCCCGCUGUUCUGACGGUACCCAAAGAAUAAGCACCGGCUAACUUCGUG